AUGGCAAAACGGCUUAUCGCGGGUAUGUUUCAUAGCUGAGGAAAGUCCGGGCAACAUAGAGUAAUGCACCUUUGGAAACAAAGGGUAUUUUAGUUGAAAAACUAAGAUAACAGCAAGUGUAACAGAAAAUAACCGUUCGUUUAGGCGAAUAAGGGUGAAAAAGUGAGGUAAGAGCUCACAGGUAUAAGUAGUAAUAUUCAUACCGUACAAACCUUGCAUGUUGUAAAACCAAGUAAACUACAGAUUUAGGGCUACUCGUCCUAGUGUUAGAUUUCUAACCGCUGUAGAGGGUAGGUUGCAUAGAUAAAUGAUAAGCUCAUUCGCCACGGCGAAGAGACAGAACCCGGCUUAUAGUUUUGCCAUUUUU
rnacentral:RNase_P_RNA from 1 species